UCUCGCGUAUCACACGAUACAUGUUUUUUAUCUUGUACAAUUUAAUUACACGCUUAUCGAUUGAUUUCAGCUAAUGUGUAUAUUUUAUACAGGUGUUCGAUUAACGGAUGUGUACUUUAAUGCAAGUGCAGAAAUGUCAAUUAUGUGUACUCUUCGUGUUUCUCUCUCUCUCUCUCUCAGUGGCGAUUUUCUCUUCAAGACACGAUUUAUGUAUA
rnacentral:lncRNA from 1 species